GACCCAGUGGUGAAAGGCAUCACACCUGCAAUCCGUUCACGGCAAUAACGAUUGCAAGCUCAAGCAGGAAGUCCCGGUUCAAUUCCGGUUGGGUCA